ensembl:misc_RNA
CGACUGGAGGCCAAGGUCAAGGUGAAAGUUGCAGUCUAGCCAAAG